AUUGAACGCUGGCGGAAUGCUUUACACAUGCAAGUCGAACGAUGAACCUUAGCUUGCUAAGGGGAUUAGUGGCGAACGGGUGAGUAAUAUAUCGGAACGUGCCUUGUAAUGGGGGAUAACUAGUCGAAAGAUUAGCUAAUACCGCAUACGCCCUGAGGGGGAAAGUAGGGGAUCUUCGGACCUUACGUUAUAAGAGCGGCCGAUAUCUGAUUAGCUAGUUGGUGGGGUAAUGGCCUACCAAGGCGACGAUCAGUAGCUGGUCUGAGAGGACGACCAGCCACACUGGAGCUGAGACACGGUCCAGAGUCCUACGGGAGGCAGCAGUGGGGAAUGUUGGACAAUGGGCGCAAGCCUGAUCCAGCCAUCCCGCGUGAGUGAAGAAGGCCUUCGGGUUGUAAAGCUCUUUCGCAAGGGAAGAAAACUUACCAUCGAAUAAAUGGUGAGGCUGACGGUACCUUGAAAAGAAGCACCGGCUAACUACGUG
rnacentral:rRNA from 1 species